ACUGUUGGAAAUGGUUUUCAUGUGAUAGCUGCACACACAGACAGUCCAUGCUUGAAGCUCAAACCAAAAUCUGCGUCCUCCAAAUCUAAUUAUCUAAUGGUCAAUGUGCAGACAUAUGGAGGUGGUUUAUGGCACACAUGGUUUGAUAGAGACUUGAGUGUUGCAGGAAGGGUAAUAGUGAGGGGUACUGAUGGUUCUUUUCUGCACAAGCUUGUCAAAGUAAAGAAGCCUUUAUUACGAAUACCAACGCUGGCCAUUCAUCUUGACCGCACAGUAAAUAAGGAUGGAUUUAAACCAAAUCUAGAGACACAUCUCAUUCCAUUAUUUGCAACAAAACCUGAGGACACAUCUACGGAGUCAAAAGAUAAAAAUACAGG
rnacentral:misc_RNA from 1 species